GGAUGUAAGGGUGAUCUGGCUGUGACAUCUGUCACCCACUGAUUGCCAGGGUUGACUCAGCUGACCUGGCUGGCUAGGCGGGUAUCCCCUUCCUCCCUCACAACUCUAUGUUCAACCCUCCCGAAGCUGCACGCUAGGUCGAAAAGGAUGACCACCCCCGACAGAGGAUGGAUAGGAGAACCAUAUCCUUGGUCAAGGUCAAACGAAUAGCUGUGCUUCCCUGCUAGAACCUCCAAACAAGCUCUCAAAACAAAACAAAACAAAAGCCUGCCUUCAUUUUUUUGCACUGAGAAAGAUAAACUUUACAUAAUACAAAAUUAAGUGCUUCCUGUUU
rnacentral:snRNA from 1 species